rnacentral:rRNA from 1 species
UUGGGUUAAGUCCCGCAACGAGCGCAACCCGCGUCCUUAGUUGCCAGCAUUCAGUUGGGCACUCUGGGGAGACUGCCGGUGACAAGCCGGAGGAAGGUGCGGAUGACGUCAAGUCAGCAUGCCCCUUACGCCCUGGGCGUCACACGUGCUACAAUGGCCAGUACAAAGGGUUGCCAGCCAGCGAUGGUGAGCUAAUCCCGUAAAGCUGGUCUCAGUUCAGAUUGCUCUCUGCAACUCGAGAGCAUGAAGGCGGAAUCGCUAGUAAUCGCAGGUCAGCCAUACUGCGGUGAAUACGUUCCCGGGCCUUGUACACACCGCCCGUCACACCAUGGGAGCCGGCUAUGCCCGAAGUCGUUACUCUAACCGCAAGGAGGGGGGCGCCGAAGGCAGGGCUGGUGACUGGGGUGAAGUCGUAACAAGGUAGCCGUACUGGAAGGUGCGGCUGGAUCACCUCCUUU